ACCCGUGGGAGAAUUGGGGAUUACUUGAUUGCAAUAAGCAGCAAGCUAGUUCAGAUUUCAGUUGCUUUUAAAAUGCAGAGCCUUUACUCUGUAAAUUCGGUAAAACAGCCUCAUUAAUGUUUACCAGUUUGAUGUAGAGAACAAUCUGUGCUGCGAACUCGUCCAAAUAUCAUUUGUCUGGAAAUCAGCAAUGAUCUGCUGCGUAAGGCAGUGAGCCAUCACAAGAGAGGAAGAAAGAAGAGAGUAAACACCAAAAUAAUGCUAGAAUAUUGACAACAAAAGAAGGAAAUAAGGGAAGAGAAGAACAAGAAGAGAGGAAAUAAUCUAUUUAUAAUCUGGUUGCAUGAAAAUUGCUUGGAAAACUUAUUUUCCUUGGAAAAUCUAAUUUUCCAUUUGUUUGUUUCGGGAGAAAAUUUCACAGUUUGGAAAGCUUAUUAUAUAUGUCCAAAUAACUUUUCUUUUCAUGGAAAAGUUCUGCUUUUUCUUUUUUUUUUUUUCUUUUUGGAUUUCCUUGCGUCAACACAAAUCCUUAGAGACUCAGCUGGGCUACCUAAUUAGCACAUCUCAACUAAGAAAUAAACACCAGGCUGCUCAGCCAGUCAGCUGAUUAAAUCAGAAAAUAAGACGGCC
rnacentral:lncRNA from 1 species